rnacentral:rRNA from 1 species
AGCAGCCGCCGCGGUAAUACAGAGGGUGCGAGCGUUAAUCGGAUUUACUGGGCGUAAAGCGUGCGUAGGCGGCUUCUUAAGUCGGAUGUGAAAUCCCUGAGCUUAACUUAGGAAUUGCAUUCGAUACUGGGAAGCUAGAGUAUGGGAGAGGAUGGUAGAAUUCCAGGUGUAGCGGUGAAAUGCGUAGAGAUCUGGAGGAAUACCGAUGGCGAAGGCAGCCAUCUGGCCUAAUACUGACGCUCAUGCACGAAAGCGUGGGGAGCAAACAGGAUUAGAUACCCCCGUAGUCCCUGUCUCUUAUAC